rnacentral:rRNA from 1 species
ACGCUGGCGGCGUGCCUAAUACAUGCAAGUAGAACGCUGAAGCUUGGUGCUUGCACCGAGCGGAUGAGUUGCGAACGGGUGAGUAACGCGUAGGUAACCUGCCUCUUAGCGGGGGAUAACUAUUGGAAACGAUAGCUAAUACCGCAUAAAAGUCGACAUCGCAUGAUGUUGACUUGAAAGGUGCAAUUGCAUCACUAAGAGAUGGACCUGCGUUGUAUUAGCUAGUUGGUGAGGUAACGGCUCACCAAGGCGACGAUACAUAGCCGACCUGAGAGGGUGAUCGGCCACACUGGGACUGAGACACGGCCCAGACUCCUACGGGAGGCAGCAGUAGGGAAUCUUCGGCAAUGGGGGCAACCCUGACCGAGCAACGCCGCGUGAGUGAAGAAGGUUUUCGGAUCGUAAAGCUCUGUUGUAAGAGAAGAACGAGUGUGAGAGUGGAAAGUUCACACUGUGACGGUAACUUACCAGAAAGGGACGGCUAACUACGUGCCAGCAGCCGCGGUAAUACGUAGGUCCCGAGCGUUAUCCGGAUUUAUUGGGCGUAAAGCGAGCGCAGGCGGUUAGAUAAGUCUGAAGUUAAAGGCUGUGGCUUAACCAUAGUACGCUUUGGAAACUGUUUAACUUGAGUGCAGAAGGGGAGAGUGGAAUUCCAUGUGUAGCGGUGAAAUGCGUAGAUAUAUGGAGGAACACCGGUGGCGAAAGCGGCUCUCUGGUCUGUAACUGACGCUGAGGCUCGAAAGCGGGGGGAGCAAACAGGAUUAGAUACCCUGGUAGUCCACGCCGUAAACGAUGAGUGCUAGGUGUUGGGUCCUUUCCGGGACUCAGUGCCGCAGCUAACGCAUUAAGCACUCCGCCUGGGGAGUACGACCGCAAGGUUGAAACUCAAAGGAAUUGACGGGGGCCCGCA